rnacentral:rRNA from 1 species
GUCUUCGAGUCGUUGAUUUCACACUGCCGAGAAAAGCCUCUAGAUAGAAAAUAGGUGCCCGUACCGCAAACCGACACAGGUAGUCAAGAUGAGAAUUCUAAGGUGAGCGAGCGAACUCUCGUUAAGGAACUCGGCAAAAUGACCCCGUAACUUCGGGAGAAGGGGUGCUCUUUAGGGUUAACGCCCAGAAGAGCCGCAGUGAAUAGGCCCAAGCGACUGUUUAUCAAAAACACAGGUCUCUGCUAAACCGUAAGGUGAUGUAUAGGGGCUGACGCCUGCCCGGUGCUGGAAGGUUAAGAGGAGUGGUUAGCUUCUGCGAAGCUACGAAUCGAAGCCCCAGUAAACGGCGGCCGUAACUAUAACGGUCCUAAGGUAGCGAAAUUCCUUGUCGGGUAAGUUCCGACCCGCACGAAAGGCGUAACGAUUUGGGCACUGUCUCAACGAGAGACUCGGUGAAAUCAUAGUACCUGUGAAGAUGCAGGUUACCCGCGACAGGACGGAAAGACCCCGUGGAGCUUUACUGUAGCCUGAUAUUGAAAUUCGGCACAGCUUGUAC